UAGGGAAUCUUCGGCAAUGGGGGCAACCCUGACCGAGCAACGCCGCGUGAGUGAAGAAGGUUUUCGGAUCGUAAAGCUCUGUUGUAAGAGAAGAACGUGUGUGAGAGUGGAAAGUUCACACAGUGACGGUAACUUACCAGAAAGGGACGGCUAACUACGUGCCAGCAGCCGCGGUAAUACGUAGGUCCCGAGCGUUGUCCGGAUUUAUUGGGCGUAAAGCGAGCGCAGGCGGUUUAAUAAGUCUGAAGUUAAAGGCAGUGGCUUAACCAUUGUUCGCUUUGGAAACUGUUAAACUUGAGUGCAGAAGGGGAGAGUGGAAUUCCGUGUGUAGCGGUGAAAUGCGUAGAUAUAUGGAGGAACACCGGUGGCGAAAGCGGCUCUCUGGUCUGUAACUGACGCUGAGGCUCGAAAGCGUGGGGAGCAAACAGG
rnacentral:rRNA from 1 species